AAACUCUUAGGUUUUGGUCUUUCUCAUACUAUAAUCACCUUACUUUUCUUUAGUAAUAAAUCAUCAAGUUUGUCAUAUUUAUUUUGUGAAAUUCUCUGUUUCGCGGCUACAGAUCUGUGUAAAGUAUUUUUAGUUUGAUUCGAAACAGGUUUUUAGUUAUCUAGCAUCUUUUGCUUCAAAUAUUGGGUCGACGAAUAGAAGCGACUUUUUUUUUGCUUUUCUAGGUCAGGUAAAAUGGAAAAGAUAAUCUCACUUGUGGACUGUUGAAAUAUACUAUGUUCGGGUUCUACUUCUUUUAGAAAGAAGAUUCAAAAUAUUUAGUAGCACCAUUUAGAUGAUGCUGAACUCAUAAAGAAAGUUAGUAAAAAUAAUUUAUAUGUUCCAUGUAAUUGUUAUUUAUAUUCUUGAGGAGAAUAUGAUUUCUCAAAAUCUUAUGAGACAUGGCUGAUUUUCUGAAAAUUGCAGUUGCAAGUAACUAUAUUUGAAUCUCCGCAGGCUUAAUUUUUCAUAUUUCUAUUCAUAAAGUCAUGGUUUGUAAAUCCAUAGGUUUGUGGUGCAUAAGUUCCCUAAUAAAAUGGUCUCUUAUCUCAAUAUUCGACAUCUUUUAUAGUAUUCAUGAAGCAUUCAACCUAGGUCUUUCAGAAUUCGAUUUUUGUCUCUUUACAAGACAUGUGGAAUUUCAAGAAGACUGUCCCUACUUUAAAAGGCAGUGCAGCUUCUCUGUCGUUCUGAAAUAAAUUAUUUUUCUGUUGGUUAUAGGUCAUUAAGCUACAAAUUCAAGAGUAAGUAUUUUCUUUAGCUAUAAUGUUUUUGCAUAAUUGUUUCAAGUAAAGGAUUUAAUGGUCUCAAUGGGUUCUUCCAUUUAAUAGACACAUUGACCUUAUCUGUUAAGCUAAAUGUUACUGGUACACCUUUAAGUUUUUGACUUUGAUAAGUUCUUUGUGUUUUGGACUUGAAUUUGUUUACGUUCAGAACUCCAAAAUAUACCAUCUACUGUAAUAACGUGCUUAAGCCAUUUACAUUCUUUUUCUUACAAUCCUUCGUAGGAUACUUCUCUUUUGAGUUGAGGGUCUAUCAGAGACAGCCUCUCUACCCGCAGAGGUAGUAUUGUGCAAUGAUAUGGACAUUACUGAUCUUAUCAUCUUGCAGAAGUUUAGGAGAGCCUCUGUCAGAAUGUUGAUUGAUCGCUUCAUCAACCCAUGUAAGUGGCUCUGACAACUCUGUUUGGUUUCAAUUAGGAAUUAGCUAUAUAAACAGACUAGCAAAGACCUCAUAAGUCACCCUCAGUAAUUCUGUUGCGUAUUGUUUGGUGGCUUAACUGCCAAGUGAAAAUAAGGAUGUUAAGGUUGAUAAUGACAAUUGGUUAUUUUCUACUGAUAUAGUGUUUGAACUCAUGCCUUAAGUACAUGCAUACUAAAACCAGGAAACCUAGAUGCUUUCUAAAAUAUCAUUUCCUGUAACUAAAUACUUUUCUUCUAUUCUCUAUCAACCAGAGUUCAAAAAAUGCUUCUACGCUGCCUUUAAAUUAUGUAAAAAAAAAAAACACACGGCAUUGUAAUUCUAAUACUGUUUGAUGGCUUAACUGUCGAGCGAAAAAAUGCUUAUUGCUAUUUAAUAUCUAUAAGAUGGUGCGUUGUGAUUUGAUAUUUGCGGUUUUGUAUGUUCUGUCAAUAUUUAGACGGUAAAGUAAAAAAUUAAGAUGUUAAAUACUAGUGAUUUAAAUGUGUGAGUUGAUUUUAUUUGACGUUAAUGAAGUUUUAUAAACCUGAAAUACCCAAAAUUAGAUUGUUGAUUCAUUAUCUUGGGUUCCAUUGCGCUGACUGGAAAAAUAUGGUUGUCUAUUUCUAAUACUUGAGUUGUUAAUGGAGGGGAUACAAGUAUUACUUUCCAGUAUUUGUUCAUUUCUAGCAUUUGAUUGGUUUGUGUUUGGAUUCAUCAAAAUGUACUUUCUCUAAUCAGUAUAGAUUGUUAUACAAUUAUUUUUGUAUGACCAAUGUCUUGCUGAGCAAUAAAGCUGAAGUCUCUUUAGAAAU